rnacentral:rRNA from 1 species
GAUGAACGCCGGCGGCGUGCCUAAUACAUGCAAGUCGAGCGAAUGGAUUAAGAGCUUGCUCUUAUGAAGUUAGCGGCGGACGGGUGAGUAACACGUGGGUAACCUGCCCAUAAGACUGGGAUAACUCCGGGAAACCGGGGCUAAUACCGGAUAACAUCUUGAACCGCAGGGUUCGAAAUUGAAAGGCGGCUUCGGCUGUCACUUAUGGAUGGACCCGCGUCGCAUUAGCUAGUGGGUGAGGUAAUGGCUCACCAAGGCAACGAUGCGUAGCCGACCUGGGAGGGUGAUCGGCCACACGGGGACUGAGACACGGCCCAGACUCCUACGGGAGGCAGCAGUAGGGAAUCUUCCGCAAUGGACGAAAGUCUGACGGAGCAACGCCGCGUGAGUGAUGAAGGCUUUCGGGUCGUAAAACUCUGUUGUUAGGGAAGAACAAGUGCUAGAUGAAUAAGCUGGCACCUUGACGGUACCUAACCAGAAAGCCACGGCUAACUACGUGCCAGCCGCCGCAGUAA